GAAGAAAAAAAUCAAUUUACUACAGAAGGCACUUCAGCAG
rnacentral:lncRNA from 1 species